rnacentral:lncRNA from 1 species
CUUCUUGUAACUCUGUAUCUAAAUCCCCUUUGUUGGAAAAACCAAACUUGUGUAUGCUGAACGUGUGUGCUGGAAUAUAUGUGACUAUUAUUCAAGUCAUAAAAUAUAUUUUAAAGUAAACAAUUAUAGGUUAAAAAUGGUCUUCAUCAGAGAGUCUUGAAGAUGGUUUCAAUAUAUAAAUGUACAUUUUGUAGUACAUGUUGUCGGGUUAGAAUCUAUCAUUGAUCAUAGCAUGAAAGGAUCUAUUGAUCUGUCUUUGAAAAGAAAAAGUUUCAAGAACUUUAAACUUUUGCAUCGAUGGUAAUUUUGUAACCCAAAAAGUGGAGUCAUUGAAGAUUGGUAAAGAUUUGAUUUUUUUUUUGUUUAGAAUAAGACCCCCACUGCAACGCAUGAGUGCAAAUUUAUGUGAAAAUCUUACACAUUUCAGUGUGUUGAUCCAAAUUUCUGUUUUCUUAAAUGUACAUCUCACUGACUGACAGCUGAUGCCUCCUCCAAAAAUUUCAACAACGUCAACAUCUCCGUCAACGAAGAGAAAAGAUUUCUCUGUUAACCUGUCAAAUGUUAUUUUCUUGAUGAUGAUAUUGUCUUUUACACCCUCAUAAGUGUAAAGUCCAUCUCCUCGAAACUUGCAGUUGUAUUCCUCCAAC